AAUGCUUGUUCAAAAAGUCUCCUUUAGCGUCUCAGUCAGACGCACGGGGCUUUCAACUCAUUCCAAUGU